rnacentral:rRNA from 1 species
UACGAAGGGGGCUAGCGUUGCUCGGAAUCACUGGGCGUAAAGCGCACGUAGGCGGAUUUCUAAGUCAGGGGUGAAAUCCUGGAGCUCAACUCCAGAACUGCCUUUGAUACUGGGAAUCUCGAGUCCGGGAGAGGUGAGUGGAACUGCGAGUGUAGAGGUGAAAUUCGUAGAUAUUCGCAAGAACACCAGUGGCGAAGGCGGCUCACUGGCCCGGUACUGACGCUGAGGUGCGAAAGCGUGGGGAGCAAACAGG